AUUGAACGCUGGCGGCAGGCCUAACACAUGCAAGUCGAGCGAGCGGAGGACGGGUGAGUAAUAUCUGGGAAACUGCCUGAUGGCGGGGGAUAACUACUGUAAACGGUAGCUAAUACCCAAUACCCUCAGAUGUGCACAGAUGGGAUUAGCUAGUAGGUGGGGUAACGGCUCACCUAGGCGACGAUCCCUAGCUGGUCUGAGAGGAUGAACAGCCACACGGGAACUUGGACACGGUCCAGACUCCUACGGGAGGAAGCAGUGGGGAAUAUUGCACAAUGGGCGCAAGCCUGAUGCAGCCAUGCCGCGUGUGUGAAGAAGGCCUUCGGGUUGUAAAGCACUUUCAGCGGGGAGGCGUUACCCGCAGAAGAAGCACCGGCUAACUCCGUGCCAGCAGCCGCGGUAAUAC
rnacentral:rRNA from 1 species